UAUAAGGAUGAGGUGCUGCUACGAGCAGGUUAAAACCUCAUGGAAAAAUCUCAUCCUUACAAACCCUAAGAAACUUUACAAAUAUCACGGAGCAGUACUGACUAGAAAUGGCAAGACCAGCAGUUGAAGUGGUCAGAGACAUGUAUGGUGCAGGUGAACCAAUGACAAAAGCACAUAGAGAAAGAAUGCUGAACGAAAACCCAGAUGUUCUUUUCAGAAUUUAUCGUCGAGGUUUUCUGCAUGUCCUGCUCUUUCGACCCAAGACUGACUACUGGUGGAUCAGACUACUUAAAGAAGAAUAUACUUAAAUCUCUUCUCAGUGGACUUUCAAACACGCUAUUAAACGGCCCAUUCGGCAUGUGAUGAAUCUCUCUGGUAAUAUGAACGAAUUAGAAAGAUUCUGUGAAAACUUUGAGAACAAUCUGGUGAAGGCUAAUAACCCCUAUGAUGAAAUUGAAGAACUUCAACAAAGGAUACAGGAACUUGUUCUAGAAAACAGACAACUUCGACAACAGAGAUAGAAAGAAACCUAUGAAGACCUGAAGACAUACAGGAGUUGGAUGCAUUUCAAGCUAGCCAAUUAUGAAUUACCUGUGUUUUUCUUCUCUGUACAUUAAAACUUUGUGUCUUCAAUUAAACUGACUCAAGUUUAAUCAUAAGUCCUGUUUGUUGAGAAUUAAUAAACCAAAUGCAAGCUGA